CAGAGACUGCAAGCGUUAUUCGGAUUCACUGGGCGUAAAGGGUGCGCAGGCGGCCAUGUGUGUCAGGUGUGAAAGCCCGGGGCUUAACCCCGGAAUUGCGCCUGAAACUACGUGGCUAGAGCAUUGGAGAGGGUAGCGGAAUUCACGGUGUAGCAGUGAAAUGCGCAGAUAUCGUGAGGAACACCAGAGGCGAAGGCGGCUACCUGGACAAUUGCUGACGCUCAGGCACGAAAGCGUGGGGAGCAAAAGGGAUUAGAUACCCCUGUAGUCCACGCCCUAAACGGUGCGCACUAGGUCUUGGCGGAUUCGACCCCCCCAGGGCCCAAGCUAACGCGUUAAGUGUGCCGCCUGAGGACUACGGCCGCAAGGCUA
rnacentral:rRNA from 1 species